rnacentral:rRNA from 1 species
AUCUAGGCUCUUGCAUCGAUGAAGAACGUAGCGAAAUGCGAUACUUGGUGUGAAUUGCAGAAUCCCGUGAACCAUCGAGUCUUUGAACGCAAGUUGCGCCCGAUGCCAUUAGGUUGAGGGCACGUCUGCCUGGGUGUCACAUAUUGAAGCCUCCUGCCAAUAUC